rnacentral:rRNA from 1 species
UACGUAGGUGGCAAGCGUUGUCCGGAUUUACUGGGCGUAAAGGAUGCGUAGGCGGACAUUUAAGUCAGAUGUGAAAUACCCGAGCUCAACUUGGGUGCUGCAUUUGAAACUGGAUGUCUAGAGUGCAGGAGAGGUAAGUGGAAUUCCUAGUGUAGCGGUGAAAUGCGUAGAGAUUAGGAAGAACACCAGUGGCGAAGGCGACUUACUGGACUGUAACUGACGCUGAGGCAUGAAAGCGUGGGGAGCAAACAGG